CACACCGCCCGUCACACCAUGAGAGCUGUUUGUACCCGAAACCAUUUAAGUCAACCUGCAAAGGGGACAAAUGUCUAAGGUAUGAAUGGUGAUUGGGGUG
rnacentral:rRNA from 1 species